UAAACGACUCUCGGCAACGGAUAUCUCGGCUCUCGCAUCGAUGAAGAACGUAGCGAAAUGCGAUACUUGGUGUGAAUUGCAGAAUCCCGUGAACCAUCGAGUCUUUGAGCGCAAGUUGCGCCCGAAGCCGUCAGGCCGAGGACACGUCUGCCUGGGCGUCACAC
rnacentral:rRNA from 1 species